rnacentral:lncRNA from 1 species
CGCAAUUCGAUGACACUCUGGCUCAGACACCAGAAUGUUUUGACGAUUUUUAGCAUUCGUUUAGGAUUUUCAAACAACCUGGUCUCUUUUAAAAUACUUUUAAUUUGUUCUUACGUGGUUUUCCAGAUGUAGUGACGACAACAUUAAAGUUUGAAGAAGAAAAUUCUAACAUUUAAACCGACUAAACAAUAACAUAGUAAACUUGCAUAAUUAAACAGCAACUAAAAAUGAUAGGUUUUACUAAAUCUUUUCCUGUGCAAUUAUUACUAGCAUUGGAGACAAGGAU